UCUUCAGUGAGGUAUAUCCUUACCUGUUACUCCACUUGUGGAGUUGCAGAACAUGAUGAAUGGAGUUCAAUGAGAUAUGAUUAGUAUCUCCAGCUUGUUGGGACCGACAACUCCCUUCAAGACCCAUUCUGAU